UAAACUAUUGGUUUUUGUUUUGAAAACAAAAUUUAAGAAAUUGUUUUCUUGUAGUUUU
rnacentral:tRNA from 1 species